UACGUAGGGGGCUAGCGUUGUCCGGAAUCAUUGGGCGUAAAGAGCGUGUAGGCGGCUCGGUAAGUCGGCUGUGAAAGUCCAGGGCUCAACCCUGGAAUGCCAGUGGAAACUGUCGAGCUAGAGUCCGGAAGAGGCGAGUGGAAUUCCUGGUGUAGCGGUGAAAUGCGCAGAUAUCAGGAGGAACACCAAUGGCGAAGGCAGCUCGCUGGGACGGUACUGACGCUGAGGUGCGAAAGCGUGGGGAGCAAACAGG
rnacentral:rRNA from 1 species